rnacentral:rRNA from 1 species
UACGUAGGGCGCAAGCGUUGUCCGGAAUUAUUGGGCGUAAAGAGCUCGUAGGCGGUCUGUCGCGUCGGAUGUGAAAGCCCGGGGCUUAACCCCGGGUCUGCAUUCGAUACGGGCAGGCUAGAGUGUGGUAGGGGAGAUCGGAAUUCCUGGUGUAGCGGUGAAAUGCGCAGAUAUCAGGAGGAACACCGGUGGCGAAGGCGGAUCUCUGGGCCAUUACUGACGCUGAGGAGCGAAAGCGUGGGGAGCGAACAGG